rnacentral:rRNA from 1 species
UACCAGCACCCCGAGUGGUCGGGACGAUUAUUGGGCCUAAAGCAUCCGUAGCCGGUUUUACAAGUCCUCCGUUAAAUCCAACUGCUUAACAGAUGGGCCGCGGAGGAUACUAUAAGACUAGGAGGCAGGAGAGGCAAGCGGUACUCAGUGGGUAGGGGUAAAAUCCGUUGAUCCAUUGAAGACCACCAGUGGCGAAGGCGGCGACCUGGAUAGGUACUGACACUCAACUACGAAAGCGUGGGGAGCAAACAGG